CACUCACACAGCAGAGCCUGGGUCCAGAGCUGGGAGGCAAGGGAGCCACCAUCUGCUCUCUGCUCUGGGCUCUCUCCUUCCCACCCUGGCACUCGGAGUCGGAAACUGCAGACCAACUGUGCCCUAAGUCCCUUUGAUUAGGAAAUAACCUCCACCUAAGGACUGAGUUUGGGGUAGCAGAGUCACCGGAUCUUGAAGAGGAUCCAGACAUCAACAGGUCAUCUUUUGUGAGUUCUGAGGCCUUCUUCCAGCUGCAUAACUUCCCAGAGAGGACACUGAACAGGCGGUGAGCAGAUCUGUGGAGGCCACGCAGGGGAACUGCAGCCGGACCCGGGCCACGUUCCAGCACUGCCCCGGGCCUUCGGUUUCACCACCUGUAAUUGGGAAAAAGCGAUCCUUGCCUCCUGGACCGGGGCAGAGUGAAUCAAGAGGCCCGAUGAGAGGCUUCCGACCCCUGGGCGAAGGCAGGAGGAAGCAGCUGGGGCAGAAAGGGGAUCUGAAUGUCACCGCAGGAACAUACACCCUCCCUGGAGGGAGGACCCCGUACUCAUGGCACUCCCCAGGACCAUUUGGUGGUAGGGAGCCACAGAGGACACAGAGGCCAUGGCUUGGCGGGGCCUCCUUGAGUUCGGUGCCUCCUCUGGGAGUCCUCCACCUACGGGGCCUGGCCUUAGAAGAAGAGCUGGAGGCCAAGGAAGCGUCAUCCUUCUUUCCCAGGCCAGAAAUUCCAGGAAAGCUUAACCUCAUCAUGCCAUGAGGGCUUUGUCUGACCCCAGGACACCCCCACCUGAUGAGCCAGCUGCCCUCCUUCCCCUUUCCCAGGGGCCCUGCCAGCACCUGCUCCAGAUGGCCUCCAACCCCGCUGUCCUACGCAGCCCCAUGACGUCAGAGUUUAUCCCUCCUUUUUUUUUUUUUUGUUUCCCCUUUUAAAAAAUAAAAGAUAGGCUCAGUUCCCUGGGGGGAACAACUGCUCCCCACAUGGCUAUCAACAGGCAGGUGAGGGAGUAGAGGCUGUGGCCUGAACCCUGAGAAAGUGAGCAGGCUUGUGAGGGAGAGGGGCCUUCCCAGCAGAAGACGGUUCAGCAUCCCGACCUCAGCGUGGAGCAUGCACCAGAUGUUUGCAGAAGGAAUGGAUCUGCUGCCAGGCUCUGUGCCUUGGGGACCGGGCCUGCCUUGGCUGGGCUCUUGUAAAACAUUGGUCAUAUGGAGCUUUUCCAAGCCGGGAGCUGCUUCUUGCUGCUCUGGGGGUCCCUGCACUGAGCCCACCUUCUUGGUGUGGACCUAGAGGAGACUGUUGUGUGGUUUGGAAGACCAUGUUUCAGAUUUGUUGGAGGUCACAGUCUUCAAGGAAGGGGGCUUCUCCCUAAGGACAGAGGGGACCCGAGUGUCUUACAAAAGCCCCUUAACUUGGCACCUUCACAGAAGGGAUCAUGGGACGGGCCUGCCAGGAUCCAGGCCCACCACUCAGCUCAAGAAGCCACGUCUCUGGGUUUUCCAAGCCAGAAACUCCCCUGCAGAUUUCUGCCCCGUGAGUGUGUGAUCACCAACUGCUUUCUGAUCCAAAUGUGUUUCUCAAGCAGAACAGGCUUCACGGAGCUAAGAGAAACACAAUGUGGUGAGUGAUGUGUUAUGAGAAAAUCCGGAAAGCUGGGUGGUGGCUGCGCUGGGAAUGGUGGUGGGAGGCCUGGGAGGCUGCAUGCUGGACGCCUGGCUCCAGAGACCAGUGCCCAGAUGGAGGAGCCCAGACGGCAGGUUCUGCCCCUUCCCUCUACAUCAAGGGAACCCGGACUCAGGGAUUAGGCAUCAUACUCUGGACAUCCUGGCCUCAAAGCCCCAGGUGCUAGGCCCCUCCUGGACCUUGGCAUGUUGCCUUCUCCUUGUCCCCUUGAGUGUUCAUCUGGUCCUGGACCUGAAAUGAAGUGGGAUGGCCUGUGAAUCUUCUGGAGUGAUGACUCUGCUGAACACUGAGGCUCGUCCUGGGCCUGUCGGUUCCCACAGUCUUCUCCUCAGGUUCAGCUCAGACAGCAGAGGCCCCAGCCCUGGAGUCCCACAGCCCCCUGAGCAUGUCACUGUCACAGCCUUAAUACCACUAGGGCUUCCUUCUCUCCUUCUGUCAGCUUCUCGGGGAACUCCUGCAUCUAUCUCAAUAGCCCCAGCUCUUUGCACACUGCCUGCCACACAGUAGGUGCUUAAUAAAUGCACAGGGACUGAAGGCUGGCAUUGCAAUAGGCCUCAGGGGGCAGCAGGAACAGAGUCAUCCUCUGCUGUCACAGAAGGAGGGUGCUGGUGAAGCCACCAGCUGCCCCAUUUUGCAGACAGGGCUGUGGAGGCUGCCCGAUCUGCCCUCAGCCACACACCGGGCUCUCAGGCUGCUUGGGCCCGAGGGGCGAGCUGCCUGAGCUCCAGUGAGUCAUGGGGAUCGGGCUGGAGCAGGCGCCCCUGCUUGCCUCAAGAACAUCUGCUGAGAGAAACAGCUGUCUCCACUCUGCGCGGAGCGGGCUCCCGUGGGAAUGUGGUGUGUGGCUUGGCAGGGGAAUGGACACAGCUCCUCUGCCACCAUGGCCAUUUGCGGGGUGGGGGUGCUCAGAGUUCUGGGGCCUUUGUCAUGUCUGUCAGCAGCCAUCUCCCUGGGACCACACUGUCCCCUCUCCCCAUUCUCUCCUACUUUAAUUUCUGGGAGGUCUGGAAAGGACAGAGCCGGGUGGGUUUGGAACGUUGUGGUCAUAAGGUUUGAGUAGAUGGAGCGUUCUAGUGUCAGGAAGCCAGCCCUCUCUGGUGGCCAGCAGGAAUUAGGUGGCCUGGGGCCAGAGCUGGCUGGGACAGGGUUCUGAAAGUGCAAGGGUGACAUACAUGGGGGGAAGGGAGGAGUCUCUCUUCAAUUGUCCUUAAAAGAAAGAGUCCUGAGACUCACCUUGAAUUCUGGGUGGCUGGGAGCCUGGCACAGAGUGAGUCCCUCCCGUGUAAGAUGGAAUGAAUGAACCAGCUCUCAUCCACCUGGAGAAACCCUCCCCACACCGGCCAACCUGGGCCCCCAGAGGCUGCCAGGGAAAGAGCCCCAUCUCUGCCUUGGGGUGGGAUCCCCUCAGCUUCCAACUCCCCUCCCCCAAGCUCUCCUCUGGCUGACAUCCACUUGGGAGGCGGCAGCUGGGCCCAGGGCGGCUGCAGAGUCUGGGACCGAGACAGACACAAGACGGUAGCUCAGACAUGGGCAGGGCCUGGAGUCCAGGUGGCGUCUGCCUGGUCACGGUGGCUGAGCAGUCCCCAGGCCAAGGCAAGGUGGAGAUGGGGGCAGGGCUGGGGUGAGAGAGCCCGUUCACUUCCCAGGACUUGGGCUGAGCUCACACAAGUCUGUUCUGUGGGGAACCACAGAGGGGGUCAGGGCGGCUCUGUGUCUCCUGGGGGCACAGGGCAGGGGCUGGAGGCUGGGAAAGGAGUUGCCCCCGGCAGUUAUCUGAGCCCAGAGGACUUGCCCAGCAGCAAUGAGCUCAUGGGCACAGGGCAGAGCUGGGUGGUGACAGGAAAGGCACGGCAAAUGUUCCCCGGAGACCUGGAGGCGUGGGGCUUUCACACGAGCUCAUGUGAUAAGCCGCUCCCCAGGCCUCUCCUCUUCAGGUCAGGAGCCCUCAGGCAGCUGUGUCCUCUGGGAGGAGCCCCUGCUGCUGGCCCUGCGGGGCCUCAGUCCUCCACACUCCUGCUCUCACUUGGUUGGAAACCUCUGGCUGAGGCCUAAGAAUCCAGCCUUGAGAUGACCUGGGCCACGUCAAGCUUAUCUGGGUAGAAUGAUGAACAUUGUUUGUUUACUCAAUCUUUCUUUUUUGUAUAGAAUAUUCACCCAGUGUUGCAGUGCAAGAUCAACAGAGUUGUCAAACUAACAGGAAAAUGUACAAAUACUUCCACCAAUAUAGCAUGACCUGCCUAGUACUCUGGCAGAUUUCCAGAUCCUUGAGGCAAAAUUUGUGCCAGGAUUUGGACUGUUUUAAGGGUUGUGUGUUUACAAAUUUAUACAGGUAAAAACAUCUCUGUUGGGGGCCGGCCCCGUGGCUGAGUGGUUACUAUCACGCACUCCGCUUCGGUGCCCUGGGGUUUCGCUGGCUCGGAUCCUGGGCGCAGACAUGGCGCUGCUCAUCAGGCCACGCUGAGGUGGCGUUCUACAUGCCACAACCGGAAGGACCCACAACUAAAAAUAUACAACUAUGCACCGAGGGGCUUUGGAGAGAAAAAGGAAAAAUGAAAUAUUUAAAAGAAAAAUUCCUUUAAAAAGAAAAAUCUCCGUGAACAUAGUUUUUCUCUUUUCUUUCUCCUUCCUCCCUCUUUCCCUUCCUUUUGUCCUUCCUUCCUUCCCUCCUUUCCUCUCUGUCUUUCUUUCUUCAGUCAGAGGAAUUGCUGGUUGAGAGCUCUGAGGAUGUGAGCGCUCUGUGGUAUCUCUUUAUCAGCUCUGGGCCGAUGGGCAUGACCUGCUAUAUGUUUAAUGUACUUUCUUCCAGCUUCUCUGUUCAUGCUACAUCUUUAUUUGUAUUUGUCAGAGACCCUCAUAGUUGCCUUAAGUUGUCUUCCUUUAAUUUCUAAGGAUUUUCUUAAAUAUUUUUAUCAGUUUGUUAAUAUUUUGAUGUUAUUUUUCAUAUUUACAGUGAAGUGUUCUUUCACUCCAUCGCUUUUCUUUGUGUUUAUAUACAGAUGUUUACAAAUUUUAAAAAUGCAUUAUAUUCUUAUAGCCUCCCGUGGUUUUUUUAAUGACAUGCUUGGACAGUUAAACUUGACUCAGGUCUUUCUCCCGAGGGGCCAUCUGUUCCCAGAGGUACCGCACUGCAUCUGCAGCAUCCAGCCUGGGAAAUCUACGAAGAGGCGAAAACUGUGGACCACAAAGUGCUUUCGAUUCUUGUGAAUUGGGUAUUUUUACCUACGUUGUGCAGAUAGGAAAUUGAGCUCAGAGAUGUUAAAUAUUUGAGUAAGCAUCUCAGGUGGGACCCAAACUCAGAGGUCUGUCUGCUCCGAAACCCACAAUUUGUCCUGACAGCAGUGUCUCAGCAGACUGGGUGAACAUACAUUGCUAUAUUCUUCUGUUGUGGGUUUUUUUUUUUAAUGGUGUGUGUGUGUAUUUAACUUUAACCUCUCUGGAAUGUUCUGUGGUAAAUGGUCUGAGUAAGGAUUUGCUAUUCACCUGUUAUUAUUACCCAUUUCCCAUAUAAACGUAGUGAUACUAUUUCUUUCAUCAUUUUAAAAUUUUUGCUCAACUUGUUAUAUAUUAAACUCAAAUAAAUAUGUUCACAUCUGCUCUACCAUAAAGUUUUGACAACUGCCACAUAUGUUUUACAGACUGGUAGUAUUUCCCUGGUUUUGCCUCAAAAUAAAAAAAUUU
rnacentral:lncRNA from 1 species